CCGGCGUACUGGGGCGGUUCAGUCGCCUCAGCCGCGGUGUGAGGGAGCGGGAGUCUUCCUUAGCUUCUCCGCCAUGGGUGUCGCUUCGUAGCCGGGCUGCUCCGGGAAAGGCCUCGUACAGGUUCUUCAAAUCCUAGUCACACUCAACACUGCACUGAACAGAGAUGAAAGAACUGCUUUACACUUAACAUUGAAAAAAGAAGUAGUCUGUUUGUGCCAAAGCCACCAUGCACAUACAAUCUGUGCCUUGUAUUCAUAUACCACCUAUCUGUAAAGGAUUCCAGGUGUGUGUGCGUGUGGGGGGG
rnacentral:lncRNA from 1 species